UAAAUAUUUUAUAUAUGCUAUAUUAGAAAAAUAAUCUCAACUGGUAAAAAUAGAAUUAUGUAUUAACAACAUAACCUUAUUAGUGAUUCGGAUUAGAAAACGGUCAUUAAAUUUGCUAAGUAAGGAGUUAGAAAGCUACUAAUGGAGACACGAAAGAGGCAUAAAUUUCACACCCAGAUUCGUGAUGGAUAGUGAACAAUAAAAAAACAAUUGUCUUGCACUACAUUUUUCCAAGGUUAAGCUCAUCUAAAAAACUGCAACAUGGUCAUUAAUUAAGUAGGUGUCAGGAAAAUGUCUAUUGCAGUAGCAAUUGCAAAGCCAAUCUGACUAACAUUUCUUUUUUUGAAACAGAACCUGGCUAAUAAUAAAGCACGUUCAGAAAACUAAACGGGGGCAUCCCAUCUCAUAUUUGAAUUUGUCGUGUGCAAGCUGCUGCUCUGUGAACCAUUUUCUACAGCCCACUCCUAGAGUCUUGGUCAACUAUAUGAGCUUGAUGCAAGCUCGAGUGGAGUCGAACAAAAUAUGAAUAUUAAUUAAAGUAACGCAAAAAAAUAAAUAGAAAAUUAAUGGACACAAGACAUUAGAACUGUGGAGUGUACCCUUUCUCCUCGAGAAGCCCGGUCCACAAGAUUUUUAUUCACCUGAAACAAUCAACAACAUCUCUUACUAAUAGUAGGUGUAUAGAACAACAAAUAUUGCUACACACAGUUUGUGUGGCUACAUUCGAUAACCUACUACCUAAUCCAGCAAAGGCUCGAACCAGACACAGACAACAUUGCGGCUAACCAGAGAAGACACUGCCUAAAUCCAACACAGACUCUAACCAGGGCCUUGAAGAAAUUAAUCAGCCCAAAAGGUUAAUAAGCCACACCACGCAUCACAUACUGAUCAGUGGUGGUGGGAUAAUAUGUGAUCUGAGGCAUGUGCUCGGAAGAGGUUGACGAUGAUGUGGUCGGGCUUGGAUCUGGAUUGGCCUUGCUUGAUAGGCCAUCUUCCCUUUGCUAUUGAAAGCUGAUGCGAGGAGAGAAGUUGUGGCUACCGCCGCCGCUCCGUGCUCUUCUUCAUGAUAAACGAUACGAAAAAUAUAUGACUAUGAGUAUUUUUUCCCAAAUGAGUUCCAGUAAUAUAUCAACUCUUACAGAAAUGAAGGUCUCAAAUUGUUCCUUUUAGAUCUACUAUAGCAAAGAAAUUUGAAUAAGAUACAUUAUUCAGCUUCAACAGAUUUGAAAAGUAGAAAAAGUCAAUGAACAACAGCUACAACAUGUGUUUCUCAUCAUUUAAGGGUUACCAAAUGCCAUAAGAAGUCUCCAAAAAACAACAUGCAGAUGUCACUGUCCUUCUUUACAAGGCAAGCAUGCCUCUUUUUACUGAUGAAAAUGGUCAGUAUAUAUCUCUUAAGAAACUGCAGCAGCAAAUACAUAUAUGAAACACUGGAUACCUCAACAAAAGAUGAUGUUUCAUGGAAGCCACCCGGUGAAUCCCAAAACUAUAAACCUCUCAGCCUCGGGUAAAUGUUUUUCAUCUUCACAAUUAUCUUGACAUCUUGCACAAGCCAUUCUGAAGCACAUAAACAAGAUUAUGUGCCAGACAUAAUAGCUAAGACUUUCUUCAAGAGAAAACUGCUACAAUUCUAUGCAGAUUCUACUACCAACAAGCCUAUAAACAUGUUCAUCACUAUUGCAUCUCUCAACU
rnacentral:lncRNA from 1 species